CAGAGAAUAGUUUAAUAAAAAUAUUAAUUUUGGGAAUUAAUGAUAAGAUCUAUCUUUUCUCUGA
rnacentral:tRNA from 3 species